UGUAGUUCAGUGUCUGCGUCUAAGAGAGUACUUUGUUGCUGCACCCGCCAGAGGGAAGAAAUACUGUAUCUUCUCAUGAAGGAAGGAACCGAAGCUAUAUUAUUUCCCUUAUGUUGGACCAUAAAUCUAAAAUUGUAAUUAAAUGUCCAUCCUCCAAAAAUGGAUAUGCAAGCGUGUACAUGUCUUUAAAGUCACAUCUCUCUUUCUGACCACAGCCAGGAAUGAUUCUCUGCUUUUAAGAACCCAUGGACUAUAUGCCAAACAGAAUAACGAGGAUAAUUUCAUCUCAAGGUACUUAAUCACAUCUACAAAAUCUCAUUCAACAUGGCAGGUAGCAUAUUCACAUAUUUUGGGGACAACAAUGCAAACAUCUUUGGGGGCCAUCAUUCAGCUUACUACAAUGUGUGAUUUCAGUAAUAGAGCUACAGAUUCAUAGUAGGGUCUUUCUCAAUAAUGAUUUUGUUCAUACUGCAUCUUCUAAAAGAGGAGAGUCAUAAAACUUGAUUAUUUAAUCAUGAUUAGGAAAGUUUGGUAUAUAACACAGUAGCCAUAUUUUAUACAGUUGUGGCUACUGUGAAAUAGGAAGCUCAGCAGCAGCCAUUGGGAGUGUGCAUGUCUUGGCCGUGAGUAAUCUGAGUAAAUUCUACAAGUAUGUUUCAGUAAUUGAAAACAGAAGACAUUCAUAUGAAAUUUGCCGAAAGUCCUAUUCCCAGCGAUUAAGUAAUUAUCUGUUAUAAAUCAAAAUUACUCCAAUAGUCAUAAAAAUUAUAUAUUGAUAUGGCUAAACUCUAAAGUUUUGAUUUGAAUAAUGCUAACCAAUUGUAGCAAAAAGAGGUUUGGAGAGGAAAUCAACAACUGUAACAUAAUUUCACCAUUACCACUUUCUGAAAUUGUGACUAGGAACAAGUAAUUUAGCAAUUCUAUUUCAGAGUUUACUCACAGAAUGAGUU
rnacentral:lncRNA from 1 species